ensembl:rRNA 5S_rRNA 5S ribosomal RNA
UAGGGCCAUACCACCCUGAAAGCAUGUGAUCUCAUCUGAUAUAGGAAGUUAAGUGGGGUCAGGCCUGGUUACUACUUGGAUGGGAGAAAUUAAGUCUAACUCCAU